UUUUUUUUUUUUUCCUGGUUUUCUCUGUACUCCGCCCGCCUGCCUGUGUCUCCUCCCCCGUGUGUGCUCUCUCUGUCCCUCUCUCCCUCCGCUCCAGAGCCCAGCCAACGAUCCGCACCCGCACCUCGUCAGCUGCCUCCUCUGCCUGCUACACCUGCCAGCAAUCAACUCCAUCUCUGCCAGUACUUCUACCCCGGUUCUCCAGUCAACCCCUGCUUGAUCGUCGUCGCUCCUUACCCGGUGUCACCUCAACAUUCAAACUCACACGUAUCUUUGCAUCCUUUCUAUUUCCCUGUACUUUGUCUCUGCCGUGUCUGACCCUGUUUGUCUGUCUGUCUCUCCCCAGGUUCACUCACCCUCGUCUCCAGUCAGUCAUCUGCUCACUUGCCCCUUUCCCUCGGACUACCCCCACGGCGUCCUCCCAGUUCUCCUGUGCCUCCUGGCCCUAGUGUCCCCCGGCUCUCUGGUCUCUGUCUCCUCGGUUCCCUUUGCCUGCGUUUCCCCAGCAUCCACCUCACCCUCAACUCCAGUCCUUCAACCCCUUUUUUCCCCAAAUUAACCUGCCUACCUGAGCGCUGCAUUUGGGUCCUCUCUGUCCCCACACCACACCACCGUAACACUAUAUAAAUAAAGUUUACUUACUUACCGUACCUGAGCCACUGCUUUGAAGUAACUCUCUGAAAGAAUGAUGCUCUGUGUUCCAAUGUACAAAGGGUACAACAGAAGAAAUCCUGAUCCUGCAUUUUUCUGAGAACUGUGCCUACUCAGCGUUGGCACAGACCUUUGACAUUGGCCCUGCAACAAGACUGCUAGACCAGCUAGGAUACCUCAACGACUGGGUGACCCACUGGUCUUGAGGGAGCGUAAUGCACCUCACACUGCACAGCAGCCUGCACCCAACCCCAGAAACCAGCAGGAGCAGAAGACAAGGGAGCAACAGUUUACUCCAAACUGGUUCUCAGGAACGCCAUCUGGUCCAUCUGGUUUGAAUCAAGAAAGGGACCAUGUUCUACAAAUGGCAAACCUGAUGCUCUCUUCCACCAACACUUCUCUAAAAAGCUUCCCAGCUGCUUUGUGGCAGCAAUCCUGGGAGAUCAAAUCUGUGGUGAGAGAGGCCUAGCAACACCAACUGCACCCAGGAUCAACUGCCCACUGUCCCUUCUCAAACGGCACCUCUGGCGUUGCUCAUGGUAAAUCCUCUCACUGUCCACCUGCUGCUCUGCUACGUCCUCUACCUGUCCCUGCAGACGCUGCUAUGGGGUGGCCUCAUCUGCCUGCAAGGAAAAACAAAUACACAGAGACGCUUGAGGCCACAUCUAAUUAGGUGUUCAAAACAGGGACCACCUUGCCUCAAUGGCUUUUCCUCCAAUACUUAAUAAAUAAAUAUUUUCUAUAUUGAAACAACUUGAAAUUAAGUGUAUUUA